CGAUACUCCAUGUGUGUAUAUACAACAUUUUGUUUAUCCAUUCAUCAGUUCAUGAACACUUGGGUUGCUUCCAUCUUUUGGCAAUUGUGAAUAAUGCCCCUAAGCAGAGACUCGAACUGAUAUUUUCAACAGAUUUUAAUUAAAUGAGGUCUUUGACAGGGGCCAGGGAUUUAAGGGAAUGGGUCCCAAACCUGUCUGCGGCUGGAAUCACCGGGAAGCAUUACAAGAUGCUGAUGCCUGGGUCGCAGCCCCAGAGAUUGUGGUUUUAAUUGGUCUGGUGCAUGACUUGGACUUUGGAAUUUAAAAACGGUCUCCACGUGACUCUGAUGUGCAUCCGAGUUUGGGAACUGCCGCCCUAAGGGAUGGGGCGUUUUCUCCUUCUUCUGCAGCAGCAAGAAGCUUUCACUCCCUUGGGCACAUAUCCUAAUGACCAGGGGCAGAAGGUUGUUUUUUUGUUUGUUUGUUUGUUUUUGUCAACUAAAGUGACGUCCCCACCUUUCCCUUCCCUGUUAUGCAGGACACCGCGGGAGAAGAUAGACACAAUCUCUGCCCAAAUGGCGCUUCCAACCCGGCAGGGGAGACAGAGCGCAGCUAGGCCACCACCAAGGAGGAGGUGGAAGCUUUGUCAAGCUGUCGCUGAGAACCCCAGUCGACCGAAGGCAAAAUACAAGUCUCCAAUUCAGAAAACUUGGGUCAGAAAACCAUGAGGGAGCCAGCAGCGAGACAGAAGAGAGACCUGCAGUGAUUCGUGAUGAUCCUUGGGGACUCCACAUUUGUGGGAUUGAAGGGACAUUUGCAAGAGCCCAGAUUUUCUGUGGCUACAGAUGGGGCUGGCAACCAAGACCCCAUUAUUCAAGGCGCUGUUUACUAGUAAGCCAGUACACAUUUAGGACAUGUGCUUUCCAAAUUUUAUAUAACUGCAUAUUUAUAUAAUUUAUAAGUUAUACAUUUAUAAUUAGAAUGAAAAAAAUACCUUUAAGAAUAAACUAUGCCCUGCCCCCCUCCACUCAUCUCCUCCCCACCCCCAUCUCUCAUUACUCUACAGUCUCACACCUGUGUGGAAUCAUUUUCAUAGAGUCUAUUGCUCAAGCCAAGAUCCAAUCUGCAUUCCCAGUGCCCUGCAGUAGAAAGUCUGUGAUUCGAGAAAAGCUGUCACUGAAAGGGUUAUUGCUUUAUUGUGGCAUAAUUUAUAACGAUGAAAAGUUGGAAGCCACUUCAAUAUUUAAACACAGGGGAAUGCUUAAAUGGAAAACAUUUGUCUGCUUGAUUGAACAUUGGGUAGCUAUCAAAAAUGAUGUUCCCAGGGUCAAUAACUGGACUUAUGUGGAAAAUAUUUAACAAAGUUAGGUGGAAAAAAAAAAACAGUAUAAAAAUUGUAUAUAUACUUUCUCACUUUUUACCUAACCAGGGGGAAACACAUCUCUCAAACCUGUGUGUAGGGGGAAAGAAAUCUUGCAAGGAAAUACAGCAAGGUCAUGUACAUUUAUUGAGAGGAAUUUUGGUGACUUUUCCCUUUUCUUUUCUACUUUUCUGUAUUUUCCAAGUUUUCUGUUAUGUGAAUUACUAUUUUCUGAAAUGGAAAGAAUAGAUAAUAAACAUUUACAUAAAAAAUCA